UACAGAGGUCCCAAGCGUUGUUCGGAUUCACUGGGCGUAAAGGGUGCGUAGGCGGUCGGGUAAGUCUGACGUGAAAUCUUCAAGCUCAACUUGGAAACUGCGUCGGAUACUAUUCGGCUAGAGGAAUGGAGGGGAGACUGGAAUACUUGGUGUAGCAGUGAAAUGCGUAGAUAUCAAGUGGAACACCAGUGGCGAAGGCGAGUCCCUGGACACUUCCUGACACUGAGGCACGAAAGCUAGGGGAGCAAACAGG
rnacentral:rRNA from 1 species